rnacentral:rRNA from 1 species
GAUCCUGGCUCAGGACGAACGCUGGCGGCGUGCCUAACACAUGCAAGUCGAGCGGAGACAGUGAGUAGCUUGCUAUGAGCUGUUUUAGCGGCGGACGGGUGAGUAACGCGUGAGCAACCUUUCCCAGACAGGGGAAUAACACACCGAAAGGUGUACUAAUACCGCAUAAGACCACGGAAUCACAUGGUUCUGAGGUAAAAGAUUUAUCGGUUUGGGGUGGGCUCGCGUCCGAUUAGGUAGUUGGUGAGGUAACCGG